rnacentral:rRNA from 1 species
AUCAGUGUACUGGGUAGGAGAUGUUGCUCUGUGUGCGUCCUGGGUGAGAGAAAGGGGAGACGUGGGGUGGAUCGUGCUGCGCAGUAAAAACCUAGCCACCAAUCCCCGCAUCUCCGAGCAGCCAAUCCAGCCCCGCCUCCGUCCUCCCCAUCUCUCCACUGCGCCGCCUCCUCCUCCCCUUCACUUUUCUCUCCGGCGGCGGCACCAUAGAAGGCGCACACGGGCGGUGGAUCCGUGCCGGUGAAGAGCAGCGGCGGCGGCGCCAUAGAAGGCGCACACAGGCGAUGGAUCCGUGCCGGUGAAGAGUGGUGAAGAGCGGCGGGGACUGCGCUCCGGUCACGGUGGGGUGCAGCCGCGGGGAAGACGAAGGAGGUCCGCCGCCUGUCUUCGCCUCCUCGUCGCGUCCUUGCUGCCUCCAUGGCCAACCGCACAUUUUUUUCUCUGUCCCUCCAUGGCGCUCGUUGCCGACCGGAUCUCAAUGAACAGGUGACCACCAUGGCACUUGCUGCUAGCCAGUAAGGAACAAGUGACCCGGGGCAAUAUUCAGUGUGCUGGCUGCGGCGGUGGUCCGUUCCUGAAAUUGGCAAGGAGGGGUAGAUCCUGCGGCUGUGUUUCCAGUGUGCUGGCUGCGGCGGAGGUCCGUUCUUGAACAUGAUCGCAAAGUCCCACCGUCAAGAACAAGGAAGAGGCCGUCAAGGGAAGCCGACCUGCAGCUACCACGCUCCACGACGCCCUCCCCAAUCAGAUUUCUCUUCUUCCUCACUCAUGCCCUGCCGCGUCGCCGCCCUAGCCACUUCUUCACAGGACAACGGUGGGCAGUCACGGCUUGCGGCGAACAUCGUUGGGUGCACCCCUGCCGGAUCCAGCCUCUGCUAUUCGCCUACCACCGGCAGGUUCAAUGAUGUAAAUCUACCUGAUAUAUUGUUGAUGGGAAUUAAGUCUAACGUAGAGUGAUCUAUCUACUACUAGGCAGACUAAGUUCAGAUUGUCUUCGUGCCAGAAAUGAAGCAGAUGGUGCCGGCAAUUGUGCAAAGCAGUUUGCACAUUAGAGGUUUGGUAUGGGAUUCUGAAGAAAACAUUAGCCCUUAUGAUGCCCCAACUUUGUGGCUAUUGCAGCUAUUGUGGCAAGGCGCACAUCAUCGUCGUUUCAUAUUGAUAUCCUGAUAUUUUCUUCAGUUUGCCAUUGGCAAAUAUUCUAUAUCCCUGGUUGCUCUGCACAUACUGCUCCGGCGAGUUCUUCCCCCAUUUUUCUCUUUCAUGCCUUGCUUCGUUUGUUCAACCAAGUGUGUGCUCAUGAUCUUCUUUCCAAGUUUAUCGAGAUUUUGGUGGCGUAGCUGGUUUACAGCCUAUAAGUUUUUGUGAUUUCAACCAAGUGUGUGUGUUAUGAUAAUUAAGGUUACUAGGAUGAAUGGUGUUUCUGUAAGCCCAGACAUAUUUUUUCUCUUCACAAAUUUGUGAUGCACUAAUUAUCUUACCUAUUCUGUUGAUCUCGGUAAUCACCCAACGAAUAAAGCUUGCAGCCCAUGUUCGUUCUUCUGGAAAAGUCAUUGCAGAAUGUUAAUGGCAUCAUAUUCCCUUUAGAGAAAUCUUUUACUGGAAUUUAAUUUCCUACAUACAUGCUUAUCAUUUGGCAUAAUGUUAUUUUGUGACACUUAAUUUUUCCUUGUCUUCCACAUUUUAAUUCAAGCAGCAGUGAUAGAAUUUGCAACCUGGUGUGGCCUUGCGCUCCUACUAUUCUGCUGAAGAAUGAUCAGCAAAUGCAGUGGAUUUGGGCUGAGCAAUUACUGAAUAUUCACGUCAUCUGUAACAUUAAUCAGAGGUUACUAAGAUUAGAUGUUGAUUGAUCUGUUCUCUACCCAUGAGGCAGUGGAGAAGAAAGACAACUCUAGGUAUGUAUCCACCAUGCUCUCAUCUCAUGUAAGUGGCGACCUUUUCUUAGUCACAGUGAGUUUGAGGCUUUAACCCCUGUCCUUGCUAGCUGAAACUGGUUUCUUGUUGAAUAAUGCUCAUCGCUCUAUUUUAGGAUGUGACAGCAUACCUUGUGUUAUUUGGACAUUUUAGAGGGAAAUGCAGCCUUUGUAUGGGUCCGCAUCUUUAGAUUUUGUAACAAAAUAUGUUUAUAAUUUAUACAACCUUUUCUACUAAGAAAAAAUGGUGCUAGCUACAAGCUGCUUGAAAAAAUGUCUAGGAUUUAGGGUCUUAGCAAAAAACAUGCUCUUUGCUAUGUUUAGGUGGCCACAUCAGUGGUAUGCACAUUGUGGCUCUGGUAAUUACGUACACUCACUUUCUUUUGCAAAAUGUGCAGAUAGUCUAAUGUACACACUAGAUUUUAUCAAUUGACUAAUUCAUGAUUUCACAUUACUAGGCUUCUUGAUUUCAGUACGCAAGAUUGUACCGACGAAAAGAGUGUACUUUGAAUUACUUUACUUGUUAUAAUAAAUGUACGUGGUAAGACGAGAUUUCUGUCACUCUUUGGUUUGUAAGCAUUAUGUGCAAGUUGGGUGUUCAGUGUACUGCUUGAUGCUCCAUAUUGCAUCACACUGCCUCGAGCAGAAGGACUAAAAUUUAUUUUGGGUUCAUCAGGAAGGAUUGCUGAUGAAGCCAUUGUUUUAGAGUUGGUAAUCAUGUGGCACUAGAUAUGAUGGAGGCACUAAUUAACUUAGUGCUACUAUGAACAUUCUUAUACGAGAUUUUGGAUAUUAGAGUUAAAAAGGUACACAUUCUUCCAAAAUUGCAAAAAGUGAAGCGAGUGUAGAGUGAAAAAAUAGCAGCCAAUGAGGUUGACAACCAAAGUUCUUGGUAUGAUUCAGGCUUGGCUAUUAGCAAAGUAGUGCUAGGUCCUCGCCGUUCGUUCUUACUCUAUUUUCUCGAGUCUUUGGUUUCUCUUUAUUCACUUUUCGCUUUCUAUUUUCAUUAUCACUAUUCAUUUGGUAUCUUGGUUUCUCUUUGUUUAGUCUCCACCCUCUUUCUCCGAUACCUUUUUUUUCAUUUGUAUGUCAAGUUAAGAAUGAGAGGCUAGAUAAACAAACAGGAAAAUGCUCAGUUCGUUCAGGCCUUAGGGAUGCAUUCCAUCAUCACUGUCCAUCAACAAGUUCAACUCCGACAAUGGUUCACCGAUAAUGUGGGCCGGUGCACCACGUCAGCAACGUCGACGGCCUGACAGGCCAUUUUCCAACUGGGCCUAUUGUAAAUGACGAGACCAUGAGGAUGUAAUCAGUAAUGUUGCUCCUGAAAAUGAAGAUGUACUUUGUCGUUCCACUAAUCUCGGCAAAAGAGUAGAUAUGGUGCUCCUCGUGCUAUAGUGGAAUUGAAUCACAAAAAAAUCUACAAAUUCAUCAAACAAUGAAGGAGGUUAGUUUUUACCUGAGCGGCAACGGCGGCCACCAUGGUCUUGCUGGAGCCUCGCUUGCAGUCGAAAGUCAUCAGCUUCAGGGAGUGUCGGCACAGCCAGAAUAGACGCCACCUUCAGUGGGGAGCAACAGCAGCAACUGCGAGGAUUUGGCUCGCCGAUACGAGCAACGGUGGCGCCAUACCCCCUUCCGCAGCUCCGAGCUGCUGGUCCGCCGAGAUGCAGAUGGAGCCGACGAGCCGUUGCGCCUCCAAGCUACCGGGCCACCGAGAUGCAGAUGUAGUCGCGGCCCCUCUGAGCUGCAGCGAGAGCUGCUCCGCCGCCAAGCUGCAGCGCCAACUAUUGUGCUCAUCCAACAUAGUGAAAUAUUUUCAGGUCAACUACACUGAAAGCAAACUAAAAGAUUACAUUGACCCAGAUUAUGAUACACUCAGGCUUGCAAACAAUGAUCUACACGCCAAUUAUCGCAUCAUGCUAGGAAAUGACAAGAGACCCACCAUGACAACCAACUGGUCUGAGUUCCGCCGCUUUGCAAAAAUCCAUGAAGGAGACAUAUGUGCCUUUUGUUUCAAGGUCACCACAAAGCGGCGACUAGCUCUCAUCGUGCAUUGCCUUUAG